GAUGAACGCUGGCGGCGUGCUUAACACAUGCAAGUCGAACGAAACACCUUAUUUGAUUUUCUUCGGAACUGAAGAUUUGGUGAUUGAGUGGCGGACGGGUGAGUAACGCGUGGGUAACCUACCCUGUACAGGGGGAUAACAGUCAGAAAUGACUGCUAAUACCGCAUAAGACCACAGCACCGCAUGGUGCAGGGGUAAAAACUCCGGUGGUACAGGAUGGACCCGCGUCUGAUUAGCUGGUUGGUGAGGUAACGGCUCACCAAGGCGACGAUCAGUAGCCGGCUUGAGAGAGUGAACGGCCACAUUGGGACUGAGACACGGCCCAAACUCCUACGGGAGGCAGCAGUGGGGAAUAUUGCACAAUGGGGGAAACCCUGAUGCAGCGACGCCGCGUGAGUGAAGAAGUAUCUCGGUAUGUAAAGCUCUAUCAGCAGGGAAGAAAAUGACGGU
rnacentral:rRNA from 1 species